AUGCAAGUCGAACGGUAGUAAGGUGCUUGCACCUUAUGAGAGUGGCAAACGGGUGAGUAACACGUAGGUGAUCUACCGUAAAGUUGGGGAUAGGGUGUGGAAACACAGGGUAAUACCGGAUAAUUCUUAUUGUUUGCGGACGAUAAGGGAAAGGGGCCACGGCCCUGCUUUUCGAAGAGCCUGCGUUCCAUUAGUUAGUUGGCAGGGUAACGGCCUACCAAGGCGACGAUGGAUAGCCGGCCUGAGAGGGUGACCGGCCACACCGGGACUGAGACACUGCCCGGACCUCCACGGAGGGCUGCAGCAACGAAUCAUCCGCAAUGCGCGAAAGCGUGACGGUGCGACGCCGCGUGCGGGACGAAGCCCCUAGGGGUGUAAACCGCUGUCAGGGGAAACCACACCGAUAGGGCAAAUAGUCCUUGAGGUAGAGGGAACCCAGAGGAAGCCACGGCUAACUCUGUGCCAGCAGCCGCGGUAAGACAGAGGUGGCUAGCGUUGCUCGGAAUCACUGGGCUUAAAGGGUGCGUAGGCGGCUUAUCAAGCAUUAUGUGAAAGCCCUCGGCUCAACUGAGGAAAUUGCAUAAUGAACUGGUAAGCUUGAGGUGCGUCGGGGCCGGAAGAACUCUGGGUGGAGCGGUGAUAUGCGUAGAUAUCCAGGGGAAUGCCAGUGGCGAAGGCGUCCGGCUAGGCGCAAUCUGACGCUAAGGCACGAAAGCGUGGGUAGCGAACGGGAUUAGAUACCCCGGUAGUCCACGCUGUAAACGUUGUGCACUGGUUUCGGGAACCUCUGACGGUUUCCGGAGCGUAGAAAAAUCGUUAAGUGCACCGCCUGGGGACUACGGCCGCAAGGCUAAAACUCAAAGGAAUUGACGGGGGCUCACACAAGCGGUGGAGCAUGUGGCUUAAUUCGAGGCAACGCGAAGAACCUUACCUGGGUUUGACAUGUACGGAUGCCCCCCUGGAAACAGGGUGUGGUUGCCCUCGUGGUGAAACGUACACAGGUGCUGCAUGGCUGUCGUCAGCUCGUGCCGUGAGGUGUUGGGUUAAGUCCCGUAACGAGCGAAACCCCUAUCUUUAGUUGCCAGUUCCGAUUUAUCGGAAGGCACUCUAACGAGACUGCCGGCGUCAAGCCGGAGCCCGGUGGGGACGACGUCAAGUCAUCAUGGCCUUUAUACCCAGGGAUGCACACGUGCUACAAUGCCAGGUACAAAGUGACGCGAAGCCGCGAGGUGGAGCAAAUCGCACAUAACCUGGCCCAGUUCAGAUUGCAGUCUGCAAUUCGACUGCAUGAAGUCGGAAUCGCUAGUA
rnacentral:rRNA from 1 species